AGUAAAGCUACUACAACACUAUCCACUGAACCAGGUCAGGGUAGGAAUACAGCAGCCUUAGUGUGGCUCUAGUGUGUGUGGUAGCUUUUAUUAU
rnacentral:SRP_RNA from 1 species